rnacentral:rRNA from 1 species
UACGAAGGGGGCUAGCGUUGCUCGGAAUUACUGGGCGUAAAGGGAGCGUAGGCGGACAGUUUAGUCAGAGGUGAAAGCCCAGGGCUCAACCUUGGAAUUGCCUUUGAUACUGGCUGUCUUGAGUGCGGGAGAGGUGUGUGGAACUCCGAGUGUAGAGGUGAAAUUCGUAGAUAUUCGGAAGAACACCAGUGGCGAAGGCGACACACUGGCCCGUUACUGACGCUGAGGCUCGAAAGCGUGGGGAGCAAACAGG